rnacentral:lncRNA from 1 species
CACUGACCUAUUUGUCUAGUACUGUGUCAGCACAGUAUGGUUUUCAUUACAAUCAUCUACAAUUAAGUAUAGUCAAAAUCUGGAAUAGCAAGUACCCCCACAAUAUACUUCUUAUUCCUAAAGUUCUUAGCAAUGUAUACACACACCUGCACACACACAUACACACAGUUUUCUAAAUAAAUUUGAAAUCAUAUCACUUCCUACAAACUUUGGAAUUAUUUUAGCUAGUUUCCACAAAAACACCAAGGGCAUUCUGAUUACAAGCAGCUUAAACUCAAAUGUUAUUUCAAGUAUUACCUUACUGACAAUAAGCCUGGAGUCCCAGAACAAAAUAUUUAUUUGCAUUUAAUUCAUGUAUGUGUGUAUGUGUGUUCUUAUGUACAUAUUUUUAGUUUCCUGUGUCUGUGUGUCCUUAUGUAUAUAUUUUUAGUUUCUUUCCCCUAUAGGACCUAUAACUUUCUUAUUUAUUCCUUCUUAAUUCAUAUAUGUUAUUACUGUAAAUGGAUUUUUUCAUUUACCAAUAGUUGAUAGUGUAAAGAAAUGCUAUUGACCUUUAUAUAUUUGUAUUAUAUCCACUCACUGUAACAUACUUUUAGAAAUAUAGCUCAUAUUUUAUAAAAUCCAGUCUCCUGGGUUUUCUCAAUAUACAUGUAAUCAUCCUAUUCAAUGAUUUUUUUAAAUUUUUCAAAAAUGUGUAUAAUAUUGUUUAUUUUAUUCAUUUUGACCUAUUUUAUGAACUAGAAUCACCAGAUCAAAUUCAAAAAUUUUGAAGAAUUAAAAUGCUUGAUAAUUUUCUUUUCUGUUGUUUUGUUUUUUCUUUAUUCUUUUUAUUUUUUAUUUAUUUUAAUUUUAUUUUUUUAUUGUUAUUUCCCCAAUACACUGUCAUAUGCAUUAACUUAAGUAUUGCCCACGGUUGCUUUCACAAUGCAAUUGCAGAGCUGAGUAGCUGUAAUAGACAUUUUGCCCCCCAAAACCCAAAAUACAUGUUAUCUGGUCCAUCACAAAAAGCAAAAAAUUGAAGACUCUUCUUUGUGUUCAUCUUUCCCCCUACUAUUUCUAAAGGAUUUUUGUGGGGGAUGGAAGAGGGAUAAAUUAGGAGUUUGGGAUUAACAGAUACAAAUCACAGCAUAGAAAGUAGAUAAACACCAAGGUCCUACUAUAUAGUACAGGGAAUUAUAUUCAAUGUCCUGUAAUAAACCAUAAUGAAAAAAAUACGAAAAAGAAUAUACAUAAAUGUAUACAUGUAUAUGCGUAUAUGUGUGUGUGUGUGUUUAUACAUAUAACUGAAUCACUUUGCUGAACACCGGAAACUAACAUGACAUUUUAAAUAAACUAUCCUUCAAUUUUAAAAAAAGGGCUUUUUCCUACUUGAACUCUGUAUCCUUAAAAAGAAAUUUGGAAAUGGGUCACCUUCCUAAUCCCAUUUUAUACAUGGUAAAACUAUCUGAAUACACUAAGUUUGUAAGUAUUUAACCAAGAUUUCAACUCCCAAAAGUCUAGACCUGAGCUCACACUUAGGAGACUUUCAUCAAUAUUCCUAUAGCACUUAAAACCCUAUAUUAAUUUUUGGUUAUAUAUUUUUUAAUAGACCUCAGCCAUUUGAGUGCAGAGGUCUUACUCCAUUGUUUUACCAAGACCAACAUCAAGAAUAUACAAGCUUCCUUAGAUUUCAUCGCCUCAAAUGAAUCUCCCCCUAGACUGGAAGUUCUCAAUCAGAAAUGAUACUGC